AAGAAAGUAAAUAAGGGCGCAUGGCGGAUGCCUUGGCUCUCGGAGGCGAUGAAGGACGUGAUAAGCUGCGAUAAGCUUCGGGUAGGUGCAAAUAACCUUUGAUCCGAAGAUUUCCGAAUGGGACAACCCGGCAUUCUGAAGGAAUGUCAUCCAACCAAGUUGGAGGCUAACGCAGGGAACUGAAACAUCUUAGUACCUGCAGGAAAAGAAAAUAAAUAAUGAUUCCCCUAGUAGUGGCGAGCGAACGGGGAAUAGCCCAAACCACCCAUGUUACGGCAUGUGUGGGGUUGUAGGACCACGCUCUCGCAAGAAAGUUAUUGAGAAGAAGCGACUGGAAAGUCGCGCCAUAGACGGUGAUAGCCCGGUAUUCUAAGGUAACUGAAGCGUAGUGGUAUCCUGAGUAGCGCGGAGCACGAGGAAUUCUGCGUGAACCAGCCGGGACCAUCCGGUAAGGCUAAAUACUCCCGAGAGACCGAUAGCGAACCAGUACUGUGAAGGAAAGGUGAAAAGCACUUCGAAUAGAAGAGUGAAAUAGUCCCUGAAACCAUGCGCCUACAAG
rnacentral:rRNA from 1 species